CCUACGGGAGGCAGCAGUGAGGAAUUUUUCGCAAUGGGCGCAAGCCUGACGGAGCAAUACUGCGUGGAGGAUGAAGGCUCGUGGGCUGUAAACUCCUUUUCCAUGAGAAGAAGUUCUGACGGUAUCAUGGGAAUAAGCAUCAGCUAACUGCGUGCCAGCAGCUGCGGUAAUACGUGGGAUGCAAGCGUUAUCCGGAUUUAUUGGGCGUAAAGCGUCUGUAGGUGGUUUCGCAAGUUUGUUGUUAAAUCGUUCAGCUUCACUGAAUACAAGCAGCAAAAACUAUGAAACUUGAGUGUGGUAGAGGAAAAGGGAAUUCCCUGUGGAGCGGUGAAAUGCGUAGAGAUAGGGAAGAACACCAAAGGCGAAAGCACUUUUCUGGGCCUGCACUGACACUGAGAGACGAAAGCUAGGGGAGCGAGUAGGAUUAGAUACCCUAUUAGUCCUAGCCGUAAACGAUGGAAACUACAUUUUGGGGCUCUGGUCGAGCAUCGCUCAUCUACUCUUCAGAAUGGCAGCUAACGCGUGAAGUUUCCCGCCUGGGAAGUAUGCUCGCAAGAGUGAAACUCAAAGGAAUUGACGG
rnacentral:rRNA from 1 species